rnacentral:rRNA from 1 species
UAUGUAAUCUUCCGCAAUGGGCGAAAGCCUGACGGAGCAACGCCGCGUUAGUGAUGAAGGUCUUCGGAUCGUAAAACUCUGUUAUUAGUGAAGAACAAAUGUGUAAUUAACUAUGCACGUCUUUACUGUACCUAAUCAGAAAUCCACGGCUAACUACGUGCCAGCAGCCGCGGUAAUACGUAGGUGGCAAUCGUUAUCCGGAAUUAUUGGGCGUAAAGCGCGCGUAGGCGGUUUUUUAAGUCUGAUGUGAAAGCCCACGGCUCAACCGUGGAGGGUCAUUGGAAACUGGAAAACUUGAGUGCAGAAGAGGAAAGUGGAAUUCCAUGUGUAGCGGUGAAAUGCGCAGAGAUAUGGAGGAACACCAGUGGCGAAGGCGACUUUCUGGUCUGUAAAUGACGCUGAUGUGCGAAAGCGUGGGGAUCAAACAGG